AUGUCCCGCCGCAUCCGCCUUCGCCGCGCGCUCCUACUCCGGCUGAAGUCCGGCCUGCGCCACUCCUUUACCUCGCCGUUUUCCCGCCUCCGCAUCCGCCUCCGCCGCUAUUCCACCGCGCCGAUGUCUCGCCUCCGUCUCCGCCUCCCCCGCGGCAGCUCCUCCCCCACCACACUGAUACCCCGCCUCCGGCUCCUCCGCCGCUGCUCCACCUCCACCUCCACGUCGUCGCCCUCACGCUCCUGGUCUCCCCGAGACGCCUUUGCCGCGGCCACGGAGCGUGUUCGCGCCGGGACGCUCAGCCUGGAAGACGCUCACAAACUGUUCGACGAAUUGCUCGGUCAGGCCACCCCGGUCCCGGAGCGCUCCCUGAACGGCUUCCUUGCCGCCCUCGCCCGCGCGCCCGCCUCCGGUGCCUGCAUCAGAGAUGGCCCCGCCCUUGCAGUGGCUCUCUUCAACCGUGUGUGCAGAGAGGAAGCCGGCGCGCAGGUGGCGGCGCUCACAGUUUGCACCUACAACAUCCUCAUGGACUGCUGCUGCCGUGCGCGUCGUCCGGACCUAGGGCUUGCCUUAUUUGGCUGCUUCCUCAGGAAGGGCCUGAAGACAGACCAGACCGGCGCCAACACCUUCCUCAAGUGCCUCUGCUACGCGAAACGGACGGAUGAGGCUGUGAACGUGCUCCUCCACAGGAUGUCCGAGCUCGGCUGUGUGCCUAAUGCCGUUUCGUACAACACUGUUCUGAAGGGCUUAUGCGACAAUAGCAUGAGUCAGCGGGCGCUCAACCUGCUCCAGAUGGUGGCGGGAAAAGGAGGUGGCUGCUUCCCUGAUGUGGUGGCGUAUAGCACGGUCAUCCAUGGCUUUUUUAAGGAGGGUGAAACAGGGAAGGCAUGCAGUCUAUUCCAUGAAAUGAUGCAGCAAGGGAUUGUGCCCAGUGUGGUGACAUAUAACUCGAUUAUUGAUGCGUUGUGCAAGGUCAGAGAAGUGGACAAGGCAGAGCUAGUCCUUCGUCAGAUGGUUGCUAAAGGUGCUCAACCCGAUACAGUGACAUAUAAUUGCAUGAUCAAUGGAUAUGCCACAUCUGGGCGGUUGAAAGAGGCUGCUAAAAUGUUCAGAGAAAUGAAAAGCCGGGGUCUUACACCAAAUGUUGUUACUUGCAACUCGUUCCUGGCCUCCCUUUGCAAGCACCGAAGUAGCAAAGAAGCUGCAGAAUUUUUUGAUUCCAUGACAGCCAAGGGCCAAAAACCUGAUAUCAUCUCGUAUUGUACUUUGCUUCAUGGGCAUGCCAGAGAAGGAUGCUUUACUGAUAUGAUUGAUCUCUUUAAUUCAAUGAAAAGCAAUGGUAUUGCAGCCGACUGCCAUGUUUUCACCAUAUUAAUUGAUACCUAUGCUAAACGCGGAAUGAUGGAUGAUGCAAUGCACAUAUUUACGGAAAUGCAGCAACAAGGUGUGAGUCCAAAUGUUGUCACAUAUUCAACUGUAAUAUCAGCACUUUCUAGAAUGGGUAGGUUGACCGAUGCUAUGGAAAAAUUUAAUCAGAUGGUUGCCUUGGGAGUACAGCCGGAUAGAGCUAUUUAUCAGUCCCUAAUUCAGGGCUUUUGUAUGCAUGGUGGUUUGGUUAAAGCUAAGGAGUUGGUUUCUCAAAUGAUAAACAAAGGUAUUCCUCAUCCUAACAUUGUGUUCUUCAAUUCAGUAAUAAACAGUAUGUGCAAGGAAGGCAGGGUUAUGGAUGCACAUGAUAUCUUUGACUUGGUUAUAGACAUAGGUGAUAGGCCUGAUGACACUUCAUUUAAUUCACUGAUUGAUGGAUAUUGCUUAGUCGGGAAGAUGGAUAAAGCAUUCGGAAUGCUUAAUGCCAUGGAAUCAGUUGGUGUUGAGCCUGAUAUUGUUACUUACAGUACACUUGUUAAUGGCUAUUGUAGAAAUGGAAGGAUCGAUGAUGGUUUGACUCUGUUUAGAGAAAUGAUGUGCAAGGGAGUUAAACCUACAACUGUGACAUAUGGCAUCAUACUGGAUGGGUUGUUUCAUUCUGGGAGAACUGUUGCUGCAAUGAAAAUGUUCCAUCAGAUGAUUGAAAGUGGAACAACAGUGACCAUUUCCACGUACAGUAUAAUACUUGGAGGUCUUUGUAGAAAUAAUUGUGCAGACGAAGCGAUUGUCCUGUUCCAGAAAUUAGGAGCAAUGAAUGUAAAGUUCAGUAUUACAAUACUCAAUACCAUGAUUAAUGCAAUGUACAAGGUUCAAAGAAAAGAAGAAGCUAAGGAGUUGUUCGGUACAAUAUCAGCCAGUGGGUUGGUGCCUAAUGAAUGUACUUAUGGAGUAAUGAUAAAAAAUCUUCUGGAAGAAGGAUCAGUGGAAGAAGCUGACAAUAUGUUUUCGUUUAUGGACAGGAGUGGUAUAGUCCCCAGCUCCCGUCUCAUGAAUGAUAUCAUCAGAAUGUUGUUGGAAAAAGGUGAGAUUGCCAAGGCCGGAUAUUAUCUGUCUAAAGUUGAUGGAAAGAGCAUAUCACUUGAAGCUUCAACUACUUCAUUGAUGUUUUCUCUCUUUUCAAGGAAAAGCAAAUAUCAGGAGGAUAUGAAAUUGCUCCCUGCAAAGUAUCAAAUUUUCGACGGAUUAGUUGUCUAG
rnacentral:rRNA from 1 species